UUGAUGCCGCCUCCCAGCUUUUGGGGAGGAAGGCUUCUUGUUUGUUUAUACUCUCAAGCCUGAUCCUCUUUGGAAAAACACAACAAGCGGCUCUUCUGAGGUUUGCUCCCCACUCGAUUUCACUACAAACCAGUACGAUGGUCCUGUGCCAUGCAGGGUUUUCAGUGGAACUUCCACACUGCUCAGUUAUAGGAGUUUGAAACCGUUAUACAAGGGAAUCCUAGGAAUUUGCAGCCAUUGAAGAAUCCUUAUCUGAUGCCAACCCUAGUGUUCCAUGCUAUGCAGCCAAGACGUUGAUUGAUAUGGAGUCAGAGCACUGUGACAGACAGGCAGUCCGCAAGUUACAAAGUUGUGGCAGUACUACACAUUUUCCAAAGAAACUGAGCAAGCGUUGUAUGGCUGCAGAAAUAACAGGAACCAACUGACUAAUGUUCUUCUGGAGAAAGACCACCAGCCAACCAGGAACGAAGUCAAAAGCUACAGCACAUUAACUCUUCGUGAAGUAUAAACUAGAGGACAGCAAGUGCCAGACCAUUUUUUUUCUCAAAUGGUUUCCAAAUCUGCGGAAUUUCCUGCCUGGCUACAUCAGAUCGGCCAACAACUUCGUAAUUGUCUC